rnacentral:rRNA from 1 species
AAUGAACGUUGGCGGCGUGGAUUAGGCAUGCAAGUCGCGCGUGAAGCGGUAGCAAUACGUGGAAAGCGGCGUAAGGGAGAGUAAUCCAUGGUUAGCUACCCUCGGGACUGGGAUAGCGGCGGGAAACUGCCGGUAAUACCAGAUGACAUCUUCGGAUCAAAGGUGUGAAUCCGCCCGGGGAGGCGACCACGUCCUAUCAGCUUGUUGGCGGGGUAACGGCCCACCAAGGCUAAGACGGGUAGGGGCGUGAGAGCGUGCCCCCA